rnacentral:lncRNA from 1 species
CUAGCCAUUACAAAAAUAAUUUGCCUUAAUGGAAAGGCAAGGAAAACUUGAUAGAAUGCAUGCAUAUGGUUUGAAGCAGAGGCAGUUGUUCCAUCUUGUUCGAAAAAAGAUGGAUGGUUAUUUUGGUCAACUUGUGUUCAUGCAAUGAAAGCUACCUAUAAUAAUUUUUCAAUCAUUGACUCAUGCAACAAACUUAGACUUAAAAGAGUUAAAGUAACUGGAGAUAAAGAAGUAUGUGCACGAUUUAAUUUCACAACUAAAGAGGACUCCAAAGAAGAAUUAAAGUUCUGGUGGAUUAAAGAUCGAGGAAUGAUUUGGUUUUAACUGGUUUGCAUCUUAUGAACGAAGUACAUAAUAUGAUUUAAAUUAAUGAUUUAUAGUUACACCU